ensembl:lncRNA
UCCUGCUUUUUGGGUUUCUUUCCCAGUGUCACCAUGCAAGAAUCUUUCAAACAGUUUGCUGUUCAGCUGGAGGCUGGUAUGAAUCCUGAUUCUGUUGUUGUUUAUGUUUUCUGUAGAUCACAAAAACAACAGCAGCAGCAACAAGAAGCCCGGUGAGAACUGAGAGACCGACAAUCAGCCAAACAGAUCCAUUCAGAUUCUGCUCGCCUUCCUUCCUCCUUCCAUCUUUGUCUCCUCCAUCCUCUGUGUCUCCUCCUGUCUGACCUGCAGGAUCAACAACACUCAGGGUGAUGAUGCUGAUGGGGUUUCCACUUAAAAUUGCUCUCUUUCUACGGUUUGUUCCUGUCUUGACACGACACUCGUAUGUUCCAUUAUCAUUAGUCGUCACAUUCUUCAGAAUCAAAGACGCGUCUCCAUCCUUCAUCUGUCUGUCCUGCAGAUCCACCCGGUUCUUAAAAGAUGGAUGCUGGUUUUCUGGAUCAAAUUUCUUACUUCUGUAAAAUAGUACAUAUUCAUCUCUCAGGUCAGCUCUGCUCCACUCUACACCUAAGAUGAUGUUGUUGUUUGGAGCUCGACAUGUCAGAGUGACGUCCUGUCCAGAGUCAGCUGUGAUGAUUUUCUGGUCUGAAAGAAGAAACAACACAGAGCACAGAGGUUAAAGGUCAAAGUAAUUAACCAAACAGCCAAUUUUAACUUAUUUAUUUGCUUAGUGCAGCCUGUUGCAGGAACUCUUUUUGUUUCUAUGUUUAGAUUUUACUUAAUCACUUGCUCAUUCUUAAUUACUGAUGACUUCAUUAUUACUUUAAAGAUUUUGUUCAUUAUGUGUUUUUAGUUUUUGGCUAAUGAAUUGUUUAAAUAUUACACAUCGUUUAGACUGAGAACGCUGUGUGCGCCAGUGACACUGAACUAAAUGAGAGCUGUUAUCACUUACAGGAGAAGAUAAAGGUGCUGCAGAGCUACAGUAACUGAAACCUAAGAGGAGGAAAAAACUGUUUGUUCUCAUUAAAGCAAAAAAUGCUGCUAGCACAUUUAGUGUCACUGCACACCCACCCUCAGCAGAUCUAACUUUAAUUCUAUUCCUGCUGACACUAAAGUGUAUUUUCCGGUUUGGUUUUUGUGUUUUUUCUCUCAUUUUUAUAGUUUGGAGCAUUUUUCUAAAAUCCAGAAUCUCCUAUAUCCAUAGCAGUUACUUAUCACCUUCAGCAGAAACCUCAGAGGGUUAAAGCAGUGCUGUUU